CGUUGCGAUCAUACCAGCACUAAUGCAACCGGGAUCCCAUCAGAACUCCGCAUUCAAGCGUGCUUGGGCGAGAGUAGUACUAGGAUGGGUGACCCCCUGGGAAGUCCUCGUGUUGCAACCC
rnacentral:rRNA from 1 species